CUGUGGAUGCUUUUCACUGAUCUGGAAAUCGGUCAUCGUCAUUUCUACUAUCUCCGUUGAUCGUCCGACUUGCUCGCAAUAAUGAGAGAGGAUUGUUGCAGGAUGACGAGCGAGGAUGAGCUGCCGUUUAUCGGAGGGAGAUCUGUCGCCGGAGCUGUAUCGGUUCUCUCAAUCGCCCCCGGACGUGUUUGGAAGUGGAUUUCCGCUGAACAGGCGACUACUCCACCGUAAUGCCGCUCCUAGCGGCUGCAUUUUCAGCGAGUCAUAUGGAGGCUGGUCCCAGGAGGUUUUCUGUAUUGUCUUCACCCAUGAGGUUCUUAGCUAUGGGCCUGGCAAAAGAAAAAUUGGAAUAUGAUCUUUGUAAAAUUGUGUUAGCGAUGCUAUCUCUACUGCAAUAACUGCAGUCGAGUACUUCCGAAAUGUCCAGACCUUGUUUUGCUGAAAUAAAUCGUCGAGAUGCUUUUGUAUAAA